UGCGCAAGCCGGGGGGCCGCCAGCGGAGGCUCUUGGACACAGAAUGCACUAUUGUGCCGAACUGGCAGCACCCCGUGGGGUGGGGAGGAAAACGCCCUACCCUGAACAGAGAGCCAUUUCUGAUCGCUCCCGGCACACAGACGUGGUGAAAUGCUCGGAUCUCAGAAGGUUUUACUGCCCUGCCAUGUGCAAGAGCCAAGACUCCGCUGUCACAUAUGGUGGCCACUAGCCGUGGGCAACGAUGACAAGUACAAAGUAAUGAAUUAAAACCACACAUUCGCUUCCUUA